AGAGUUCGAUCAUGGCUCAGAAUGAACGCUGGCGGCACGCUUAACACAUGCAAGUCGAACGAGAUCUUCGGAUCUAGUGGCAGACGGGUGAGUAACGCGUGGGAACCUGCCCUAUAGUAGAGAAUAACUCGAGGAAACUCGAGCUAAUACUUUAUACGCCCUUUGGGGGAAAGCUUUAUGCGCUAUUGGAUGGGCCCGCGUUAGAUUAGUUUGUUGGUGAGGUAACGGCUCACCAAGGCUACGAUCUAUAGCUGGUCUGAGAGGAUGAUCAGCCACACUGGGACUGAGACACGGCCCAGACUCCUACGGGAGGCAGCAGUGGGGAAUAUUGGACAAUGGGGGCAACCCUGAUCCAGCGAUGCCGCGUGAGUGAUGAAGGCCCUAGGGUUGUAAAGCUCUUUUGUCAGGGAAGAUAAUGACGGUACCUGAAGAAUAAGAUCCGGCUAACUCCGUGCCAGCCGCCGCGGUAAUUC
rnacentral:rRNA from 1 species